rnacentral:rRNA from 1 species
UACGGGGGGGGCAAGCGUUGUUCGGAAUUACUGGGCGUAAAGGGCUCGUAGGCGGCUUGUCACGUCGGGUGUGAAAGCCCGGGGCUUAACCCCGGAUCUGCAUUCGAUACGGGCUAGCUAGAGUGUGGUAGGGGAGAUCGGAAUUCCUGGUGUAGCGGUGAAAUGCGCAGAUAUCAGGAGGAACACCGGUGGCGAAGGCGGAUCUCUGGGCCAUUACUGACGCUGAGGAGCGAAAGCGUGGGGAGCGAACAGG